rnacentral:rRNA from 1 species
UCCAGACUCCUACGGGAGGCAGCAGUGGGGAAUAUUGCACAAUGGGCGAAAGCCUGAUGCAGCGACGCCGCGUGAGUGAAGAAGUAUUUCGGUAUGUAAAGCUCUAUCAGCAGGGAAGAAAAUGACGGUACCUGACUAAGAAGCCCCGGCUAACUACGUGCCAGCAGCCGCGGUAAUACGUAGGGGGCAAGCGUUAUCCGGAUUUACUGGGUGUAAAGGGAGCGUAGACGGCUGUGCAAGUCUGAAGUGAAAGCCUAGGGCUCAACCCUGGGACUGCUUUGGAAACUGUGGAGCUAGAGUGCUGGAGAGGUAAGUGGAAUUCCUAGUGUAGCGGUGAAAUGCGUAGAUAUUAGGAGGAACACCAGUGGCGAAGGCGGCUUACUGGACAGUAACUGACGUUGAGGCUCGAAAGCGUGGGGAGCAAACAGGAUUAGAUACCCUAGUAA